GGAGCUGUGGCUCAGAGGAAGAACAUCUGCCUGGCAGACAGAAGGUACCAGGUUUGAUCCCUGACAUCUCCA
rnacentral:tRNA from 1 species